GAACGCACCGCUGGUGUUCGGGUUGUCAUGCCAAUGGCACUGCCCGGUAGCUAAGUGCGGAAGAGAUAAGUGCUGAAAGCAUCUAAGCACGAAACUUGCCCCGAGAUGAGUUUUCCCUGAGCACCUGAUGCUCCUGAAGGGACGUUGAAGACGACGACGUUGAUAGGCCGGGUGUGUAAGCGCAGCGAUGCGUUGAGCUAACCGGUACUAAUGACCCGUGAGGCUUAACCUUACAACGCCAGAGGCGUUU
rnacentral:rRNA from 1 species